AAUCAACGCUGGCGGCGUGCCUCAGACAUGCAAGUCGAACGAUUAAAGCUCUCUUCGGAGAGUGCAUAGAGUGGCGCACGGGUGAGUAACACGUAAGUAAUCUGCCUUUGAGUGGGGAAUAACAGUCGGAAACGAUUGCUAAUACCGCAUAACGCAGCGGCACCGCAAGGUGACAGUUGUUAAAGGAGCAAUCCGCUUAAAGAGGAGCUUGCGGCAGAUUAGCUUGUUGGUAAGGUAACGGCUUACCAAGGCUACGAUCUGUAUCCGGUCUAAGAGGACGGUCGGACACACUGACACUGAAUAACGGGUCAGACUCCUACGGGAGGCAGCAGUCGGGAAUUUUGGGCAAUGGGGGAAACCCUGACCCAGCAACGCCGCGUGAAGGAUGAAGUAUUUCGGUAUGUAAACUUCGAAAGAAUAGGAAGAAUAAUGACGGUACUAUUUAUAAGCUCCGGCUAACUACGUGCCAGCAGCCGCUGUAAC
rnacentral:rRNA from 1 species